rnacentral:rRNA from 1 species
UACAGAGGUCUCGAGCGUUAGGCGGAAUCACUGGGCUUAAAGCGUGUGUAGGCGGGUCGUUAAGUGCCUUGUGAAAUCCCUCGGCUCAACCAAGGAAGUGCAUCCGAAACUGCUGAGCUUGAGUACUUAAGAGGAUCGCGGAAUUCCCGGUGUAGAGGUGAAAUUCGUAGAUAUCGGGAGGAACACCAGUGGCGAAGGCGGCGAUCUGGGAAGAUACUGACGCUGAGGUGCGAAAGCGUGGGGAGCAAACAGG